rnacentral:rRNA from 1 species
UACGUAGGGUGCAAGCGUUAAUCGGAAUUACUGGGCGUAAAGCGUGCGCAGGCGGUUUGAUAAGUCAGCUGUGAAAUCCCCGGGCUCAACCUGGGAAUGGCAGUUGAGACUGUGAGGCUGGAGUGUGUCAGAGGGGGGUAGAAUUCCACGUGUAGCAGUGAAAUGCGUAGAGAUGUGGAGGAAUACCGAUGGCGGAAGGCAGCCCCCUGGGAUAACACUGACGCUCAUGCACGAAAGCGUGGGGAGCAAACAGGAUAGAA